GUGAAUUUGUAGCCUCCCAGGCUCACAUUCUCUAUCCUUUACACACCUGUGCACCCUUCUGAAGCGGAGAGUUAUUAGGCAUUGGCCGAGCGCCUCCCUUCGGUUAUUACAUCAAACUCUAACCACGUUUACUAGAAUGUAUUACCGUCUUGUUGUAACGACAAGUACAAUCCGAUA
rnacentral:misc_RNA from 1 species